GACGAACGCUGGCGGCGUGCCUAAUACAUGCAAGUCGAACGCAGUGGGGACGGGUGAGUAACACGUGGGUAACCUCCCAUCAGAGGGGAUAACACUUGGAAACAGGUGCUAAACCGAUACUGAUGGAUGAACCCGAGGUGCAUUAGCUAGUUGGUGGGGUAACGGCCCACCAAGGCCACGAUGCAUAGCCGCUCUGAGAGGGUGAUCGGCCACCAUGGGACUGAGACACGGCCCAGACUCCUACGGGAGUCAGCAGUGGGGAAUCUUCGGCAAUGGACGCAAGUCUGACCGAGCAACGCCGCGUGAGUGAAGAAGGUUUUCGGAUCGUAAAUCUCUGUUGUUAGAGAAGCGGUAUCUACCCAGCAAGCCACGGCUAACUACGUGCCAGCCGCCGCGGUAAUUC
rnacentral:rRNA from 1 species